UGAGGAAUUUUGCGCAAUAGGGGAAACCCUGACGCAGCAACGCCGCGUGAGUGAAGAAGGCCCUUGGGUCGUAAAGCUCUGUCAAGUGGGAAAAAAGCUUACUGGUAAAUAGCCAGCAAGACUGAUGGUACCAUUGAAGGAAGCACCGGCUAACUCCGUGCCAGCAGCCGCGGUAAUACGGAGGGUGCAAGCGUUGUUCGGAAUUACUGGGCGUAAAGGGCGUGUAGGCGGUGUGGUAAGUCAGAUGUGAAAGCCCUGGGCUUAACCCAGGAAGUGCAUUUGAAACUGCCAUGCUUGAGUAUGGGAGAGGAGAGUGGAAUUCCCAGUGUAGAGGUGAAAUUCGUAGAUAUUGGGAGGAACACCCGUGGCGAAGGCGACUCUCUGGACCAAUACUGACGCUGAGGCGCGAAAGCGUGGGGGAGCAAACAGGAUUAGAUACCCUGGUAGUCCACGCUGUAAACGAUGAGCACUAGGUGUAGCGGGUAUUGACCCCUGCUGUGCCGUAGCUAACGCAUUAAGUGCUCCGCCUGGGGAGUACGGCCGCAAGGCUA
rnacentral:rRNA from 1 species